AAAACUCAAAUGAAUUGACGGGGGCCCGCACAAGCGGUGGAGCAUGUGGUUUAAUUCGAUGCAACGCGAAGAACCUUACCUACUCUUGACAUCCAGAGAACUUUCCAGAGAUGGAUUGGUGCCUUCGGGAACUCUGAGACAGGUGCUGCAUGGCUGUCGUCAGCUCGUGUUGUGAAAUGUUGGGUUAAGUCCCGCAACGAGCGCAACCCUUAUCCUUU
rnacentral:rRNA from 1 species